ensembl:lncRNA
UUUGUCUCAUCUCUGUUGCUAAUGAGACCCACCACAGUCGUGUCAUCCGCAAACUUAAUGAAGAGGUUGGAGCUGUGUGACGGUGUGCAGUCAUGGGUCAGCAGAGUGAAGAGGAGGGGGCUCAGCACACAUCCUUGGGGGGCCCCAGUGUUCAGUGUGAUGGUGCUGGAUGUGUUGCUGCCGACCCGUACUGCCUGAGGUCUUCCAGUCAGAAAGUCCAACAGCCAGUUGCACAGCGAAGUGUUGAGCCCCAGCUGACUCAGCUUGUAGAUGAGCUGUUGAGGGAUGAUUGUGUUGAAUGCUGAACUGAAGUCUAUGAACAGCAUUCUGACAUAAGAGUCCUUUUUUUCCAGAUGGGUGAGUGCUGAGUGGACGGCAGUGGAGAUGGCAUCAUCGGUCGACCGGUUGGACCGAUAUGCAAACUGGAAUGGGUCCAGGGAGGGGGGGAGGGCAGACUUGAUGUGGUGCAUGACUAGCCGUUCAAAGCACUUCAUGAGGAUGGGGGUAAGUGCAACAGGACGGUAGUCAUUGAAGCAGGAUGGAGAUGGCUUCUUCGGGACUGGGAUGAUAGUGGUAGUUUUAAAGCAUGUGGGAAUAACAGCCUGACUCAGUGAGAUGUUAAAAAUGUCUGUGAAGACAUCAGUGAGUUCUGCUGCACAGUCUUUCAGUACACGCCCAGGGAUGUUGUCAGGACCCGGAGCUUUGCGGGCAUUGAUCCUGCUGAAGGAUCUCCUCACACUGUCUGGGGUCAGAGUCAUCACCUGGUCGCCGGGAGGAGGUGGAGUCUUCUGUGCAGUGGUGCUGUUUUGUUGCUCAAAGCGAGCGAAGAAGGUGUUCAGCUCGUUCAGCAGAGAGAUGUUGUUGUCACAGGCUCCUAGUGUCUCUGCUGUCGCUGAAUUGGUGAGCUAUCCUCCUGGAGUGCUGUCUCUUAGCCUCUCUGAUGCCGCGGGACAGGUUGGCCCUAGCUGUUCUCAGGCCCACCUCAUCUCCAGCUCUGAAGGCAGCAUUCCGUGUCUUCAGGAGUCUGUAGACCUCCCCCGUCAUCCAUGGCUUCUGGUUGGCCCGGACAGUGAUAGUUUUUGUGAUCGUUACAUCAUCAAUACACUUAUUGAUGUAGGCAGUAACAGUCUCUGAGUACUCCUGGAGGUCAGUGGUGUUAUUGCAUGUGGCAGCCUGUUUAAACAUGUCCCAGUCAGUCAGUUAAAGAAGAGUGGCUUGAUUAAAUGCUGGGAAUAGCGGAGGAUGGGUACAGAAUGGUAACAAAAUUCCGAGACAUUUAGCUACAGUCACACACAGGUGUAUUGUGCAAACUACUUCAUAGUGAUGUUUAGACAGCUAUAGAAGAAUUCACAUGUUCAUGUUGUUGUUAAUUUAUUUAUUUAUUUUUAUUUAACUUACAGAUCUCAGCUUUAGUUUUGCUUCAGUUUGUUUUCUAUUCUAUUAUUUUAUAUUCUAUCAGUUUAAAUAGUUUAUUUUGAUAUUAUAUUAUAUUAUGUUAGGCCUAUAUAAAUAAUUUAGUCUCUUGCUCAUCUAGGAUGUAAUUAUUUAAAAAAUACAGGAAAAAAAAUAUUUUUUAUAUUUUUAUAUUUAUGAUAUUUUGAUAUCAUAACUCAAUUCAUAACUCGAUAAAGAAAACAAAAAAAACUAUAUGAAGGUGAUUAUUAAACAAAACUACAUAAAUCAACAAACCUCUCUUACUUGACCAUAAUCAGUCCUAUCCCGGUUCCACAGUUCAGCACCCCCUUUACCACUUCCCUAGCUCAGCAACCCGUGCACCUAGGAAGCAAAUUGAGAGUUUGGGAAAAAAACAGGAGGGGAGCCUUAAGCCCGUAGAUUACACCUGUGGAGCUCUAGACAACGCGUCUGCCACCACGUUGUCAGUCCCCUUAAUGUAACGGACAUCCAGACAAUACGAUUGCAGGAACAGGGACCACCUAAUUAAUCUCUGGUUCGGACACUGUAACGAAUUAAGAAAAAUUAAAGGAUUGUGGUCGGUGAAGACCACAACAGGAGCACUACCACCAACAUAAACCUCAAAAUGUCUUAAUGCCAUUAUCAGAGCCAGGGUUUCCUUCUCAACCACUGAUUCCACUAAUUCAACUGACAAGAGUUGAACUUUCUUGAGAAGAAACUC